UGGGGAAUAUUGCACAAUGGGGGAAACCCUGAUGCAGCGACGCCGCGUGAACGAAGAAGGUAUUCGUAUCGUAAAGUUCUGUCCUAUGGGAAGAUAAUGACAGUACCAUAGAAGAAAGCUCCGGCUAAAUACGUGCCAGCAGCCGCGGUAAUACGUAUGGAGCGAGCGUUGCCCGGAAUUAUUGGGCGUAAAGGGUACGCAGGCGGUUUAAUAAGUCGAAUGUUAAAGAUCGGGGCUCAACCCCGCAAAGCAUUGGAAACUGAUAAACUUGAGUAGUGGAGAGGAAAGUGGAAUUCCUAGUGUAGUGGUGAAAUACGUAGAUAUUAGGAGGAAUACCAGUAGCGAAGGCGACUUUCUGGACACAAACUGACGCUGAGGUACGAAAGCGUGGGGAGCAAACAGG
rnacentral:rRNA from 1 species